rnacentral:lncRNA from 1 species
AAUGUGAAUGUUUCCAUGGUGGAUGUGUUUUGCAUGCCCGUAUGCAUCGCAUCUAGUAGGCUGCAGGUCUGUCUUUGAUGAUCUAGGAUGAGUUAAUGAUGGUAUGAAACAAGAUGUAAUUUCUUAUAUGGGAAUAUAUUCUUGUUUUAAUACAUCACAUAAUUUUACCAACCCAAGAAUAUUAGCAAUUAGAUUUGAUGUGCGCAAAGUUAUUAAUUUGUUGGAGCAUUUGAAGGGUCGAUUGCUUAUGAGUCCAGACAAAACACACCUUUGAAAUCAAGCAGUUCAUUGUGCCACCAUUCCAUGUAUAUGACCGUGGUUUGUUUUAUGUCAGAUGACAAUUGUCUAACAAAUUCCAGUAUUUCUUCUCAUCUCUUUUAUCAUGGUCAUCCAUUUAGUCACAUAAGAUCAAAACUGC